rnacentral:lncRNA from 1 species
GGACUCACAUAUCACAGGCUGGCCUCAAACUCUAUCUCAGUGGAAGAGAAUAUGACGCUAUGCUCAGUCUCAUUAGUUCCUAAUGGGAUGUGACAACGCAUUUGCAAUGUGUGGUCAGAGUUCCUUCCUGGAGUAAAUGCUAACCGUUAGCACACAGCUGCUUGUGCAAACUAUAGACGAUAGAGUCUGGAGUUCGGCAGACCAGCCAAAAAGCCACGGUUGCCUCCUGAUGACCUACAUCUGCUCUCUGCCUGGAGCCAAUAAUGCAAGCAGUAUUUUCAUCACAAAGCAUCUAGAGAGAAAAGAUUUCACAACUUCCUAGAGCACAUUCAAGCUCCCACUGUGUCCUCUGGCGCCAUCCAUAAAUCCCUCUCUUCAUCUGAUUUCAGCCUGUGCCCCACAGAG